rnacentral:lncRNA from 1 species
CCUUCCAUUGACCUUGCAAUCACAGUAUACUCCUACGAGUAUAAAUUUUUUUAUACUCACAAAUUUUUUACCGUUAAAUUUAUUUUUUUAAUUAUUUUCAUCCGUUGAAUCGUACUGUUCAAUCAAUAACCCACUCAAUCUUAGAGGACCAUUAUCAUCCUAACCAUACAUUUCUUCAUCCAACGACUAAAACUUAUAAUUACAAAAAGAUUUAUUUAUACUUUUAAGAGUAUAGUAGCUAACUCUAGCCAUAUUAUAUAUAGA